GUUGAGAUAAUCUUUAUGAAGAUAAAAUGAAAAUUCCUAUGGCCAGGAUUCUCACUUGGCCCUGGUCAGCUGACUCACUACACACAGGUUGGCAAUGCGUCGUUAUUGACUCUAUAUAAAGAACCCUGCCCAGUGCUCUGCACGACACAGUGGCACAGCUGCAAGGCUGCAGGAGAGCAGAGCAGAGGCUGGAAUGGUGACAGCGCCGAGGACAGAGGCCCAGGGGACAGCUGUGCGGGUAGAGAGGCCCAGAGAUGUAUCCAAAGAAUCUAGGAGCACCAUUUUCUACUGAUGCAGAGGCAAUCUAAGAAAGAAUAUACAUUUUUGAGACUCCAAUGGCCACCUAAGAAUUGAACAUAAAUGAAGAAAACAAUGAUUUGUUGUACAACGAGUCACUCAUUUAAAACUCAAGCCUUGAGGAGGGCGGAGCCAAGAUGGUGGCAUGAGUAGUUCAGUGGAAAUCACCUCCCAAAAACAUAUAUAUUUAUGAAAAUAUAUAAAUACAGCUAUUCCUAAAAAAGACAUCAGUGGAUACAGUACAACAGCCAGGAUACAUCUACAUCUGCAAGACCUCAACAUCACA